UCAGCCGGGAAGUUUAACGGACCACCGCCGGAAUCCAUCUCCAGACGAGACUCGUACAAGGAUUGAGAGGCUAGCAAGGCCGACGCUCCAUCAAAACCUAAGAACAUUUUGUGAGGAACAACUCACGCACGGACUGUGAAGAAGUUUGGCCGAGACCUCAACCCAAAGGCGGAGAUCCGAGAGUCGUCUGAGAACGGAGCGCGAGGCAUCGGUCAAGGGCGGGCGUGAUGGAGACGGGGAUUGUCACAGAGGAACGGGUUGUCCC